CCUACGGGUGGCAGCAGUGGGGGAUAUUGCACAAUGGGGGGAACCCUGAUGCAGCGACGCCGCGUGGGUGAAGGAGCGUUUCGGCGCGUAAAGCCCUAUCGGCAGGGAAGAAGAUGACGGUACCUGGCCAAGAAGCCCCGGCUAACUACGUGCCAGCAGCCGCGGUAAUACGUAGGGGGCAAGCGUUAUCCGGAUUUACUGGGUGUAAAGGGGGCGCAGACGGCAAUGCAAGCCAGGAGUGAAAGCCCGGGGCUCAACCCCGGGACUGCUCUUGGAACUGCAUGGCUAGAGUACAGGAGGGGCAGGAGGAAUGCCUAGUGUAGCGGUGAAAUGCGUAGAUAUUAGGAGGAACACCGGUGGCGAAGGCGGCCUGCUGGACUGUGACUGACGUUGAGGCCCGAAGGCGUGGGGAGCAAACAGGAUUAGAUACCCCUGUAGUC
rnacentral:rRNA from 1 species